rnacentral:rRNA from 1 species
AACGAACGCUGGCGGCGUGCUUAACACAUGCAAGUCGAGCGGUAAGGCCCUUUCGGGGGUACGACGAGCGGCGAACGGGUGAGUAACACGUGGGUGACCUGCCCUCAGCUCUGGGAUAAGCCUGGGAAACCGGGUACUAAUACCGGAUAUGACUCCAUGACGCAUGUUGUGGGGUGGAAAGCCUUGUGCGGCUGAGGAUGGGCCCGCCGGCCUAUCAGCUUGUUGGUGGGGUGGAUGGCCUACCAAGGCGACGACGGGUAGCCGGCCUGAGAGGGCGACCGGCCACACUGGGACUGAGACACGGCCCAGACUCCUACGGGAGGCAGCAGUGGGGAAUCUUGCGCAAUGGGCGAAAGCCUGACGCAGCGACGCCGCGUGAGGGAUGACGGCC